CCUACUGGCGGCUGCAGUGGGGAAUAUUGGACAAUGGGGGCAACCCUGAUCCAGCCAUGCCGCGUGUGUGAAGAAGGCCCUCGGGUUGUAAAGCACUUUCAGUGAGGAAGAACGCCUGGUGGUUAAUACCCAUCAGGAAAGACAUCACUCACAGAAGAAGCACCGGCUAACUCCGUGCCAGCAGCCGCGGUAAUACGGAGGGUGCGAGCGUUAAUCGGAAUUACUGGGCGUAAAGCGCGCGUAGGUGGCUUGAUAAGCCGGUUGUGAAAGCCCCGGGCUCAACCUGGGAACGGCAUCCGGAACUGUCAAGCUAGAGUGCAGGAGAGGAAGGUAGAAUUCCCGGUGUAGCGGUGAAAUGCGUAGAGAUCGGGAGGAAUACCAGUGGCGAAGGCGGCCUUCUGGACUGACACUGACACUGAGGUGCGAAAGCGUGGGUAGCAAACAGGAUUAGAUACCCCUGUAGUC
rnacentral:rRNA from 1 species